rnacentral:lncRNA from 1 species
CGGGGGCCGCAGGCGGUGCCUUCAGAUCGCCUCGGGCGUUCUCCGGGAGUCGCGAAAGCCGGGAGGAGGAGGUCCACGAGCGGGUGAGUGAGCGAGCGGGACGCGGGCCGCGAUGAGCGAACCGCCGGCGGCGGUGGCGCCAGGCAUGGACGGUCGAGCCCCCGGCCGUCCCUCUGCCUUGUCGUCGUUCGGCGUCGCUCGUCGGCUCCGCCGUCCUUCUCGUCCUCCUCCCCGUCUCGGUCCUCCUCCCGGGGCCGGCUUCAAACCCCCUUUCCUUUCACCUGGCUCCCAUGUCCCCUUCCUCGUAGGCUGGUCCUGGGGAAGGGGAGAGCCGCCGGCCCGCUCCCGUAUCCCACCCUAUUCCUUCCCCUUUCACUUUUUUCUUUGAAUUUGGUUCGCCCUCGGGUAAGAUUUCAUAUUCCCGUUUUUGGAUUUCAUUUUAUCGGUUCUUUUUUGACCCACCUCUUUAUUUUUUUGCUGAUCCUUCCCCUCCGCGUGUAAUAAAAGAAGAGUCAGAAGAAUGAAACAAGCUAUACAGAGACAUAAAUAACGAUCGAACAAACAUCGUUCCGGGUGCACUCAAGCCCGCAGCAAAAAUAUUCUUUUUUUCCAAAAACAAAUCUGAACACCAUCUUCCUCAUCCAGGUUUUUAAAUCAUCUUGGAAUUAGGAGUCACGGGUGCUCCACUCAUAACUAAAGCAGCAACAUCAGGGCUCGCUCCAUCCCGGCGCGAUGUCGCCUUGUACAUAUUUUUCUUUUCCUUCCUCCGCCCUUUUAUAUCCCGCGUCAGCAUCCGACGAGGGUCCCGGCCGCCGAGGCAGACGGCGGCGGCCGUGGCACGCUAGAGAACAACAACAUCCUUCGAUAAACAUGCAAGAAUCUCACGUAAAUAAUGAAUUUAUUAUCAAAACUACUACUACUUAAUAUUAAAAGACAACUAGCACUAUUAUUAUUCCUUAGUCUUUUUAACUUGAUCCGCAUUCAAGAUCGAGGACAACCACACGACUACAAGAAGAAGCAGCCUGUGCCCUCGGCGUCGGCAUGGCGGGGGUCUGAGUGGCCCCAUCCCCGGAUGCCGGCGUCGGGCGAGAAACCCAAAGAAAAGCAGAAAUCAAGUUGACGAAAGAAAGAAAAAGGGAAGAAUAAAACUGACAGUUAUAAGAGAAACAGACACCAAACAAGAAUAUCGAGAAACAUCAUCGAACUCAAGAAAAGAGAAGAUGAAACGGUUCCGACAAACUACAACAAUCACCGAACACGCACACACCGCUCGGGUUGCUGUUGCCCUUGUCGCCACGCAGCGUGCCAUCCUGUUAUUUUUAUGAUGAAUUUAUUUUUAUUCUCUCUCUACCGUCCAGCAUCAGAAGGAAAGAAAAAAACACAAAACAAAACUCGGAACCAUCACGCAUUCAGCAUCAUCAUAGAGCUUAUGGUGAUCCCAACAACGACGAUGAAGAAUCAUUUUUUCCUCUUGUUCAAUUAUCAUUCUUUUUGCUCAUCUCCGUGGCACCCAUUACAGCAACGUUGGACUGCCGACCCCGGCUUUUCAUGAUAGUAUGUGUAUAUAUGGUUAUAGAAAAAAGAAGGUAAAAUACAGAUGAUAUUGCUUCUGCCGUCGGCUUUUUUGUUGUUUUUUCAAUUUUUCUGGUUACUCCCGCCUGAUUUUUGUGUAUGACGUAUAACGUGGAACCCCACGCAUCCUUCACCUCCGUCGUCCCUUUGCAGUAGCAGCAGCCAGCCAGCGAGGCGGUGACGGCGCUCCCGCACGAGUGGCGUUCCGGGGAGAUGAUAAUGACAAUGGAAAUAUCCUAAAUAAGGAUGAAGACGCUGAAGACUACAAAAAGGAUAGGGAAAAAAAACACUGAAACCUUCAAUCCUCGCACUUCUUCGCUCUCGAAGCAACCUAAAAGUUGAAAUGAAAGGAUGGAAACAUGGAAUACAUUUUCGAUCGCACGUAUCACCAUUUACAUGAAAAGACUCAGAUAGAAAUUGGACAUAUAGGUUUAUUGAUAAGUUCAAGCGUUUGAAACAGUUCAGCCAAUGCAAUCUUGUCUCGGCAUAAUCGCAUAAUCACUUUUUUUGCAUAGUAUUUAUUCACAUCAACACAGCGAAAACUCCAGCAUCAAAGUACACCUUAGAGACAGCCCGGAAAAGAAUAAUACACCGUGGAGAUGUACUCGCAUGAAAGAAGAAUACUCUCUUUUACUCUAUCCCGUCCGUACCAUCGUCAUCGCGGACGACGGCGACUGUCCGUACAAAAGAAAAUAGAUACUCGGAUAUAGGAAUCAAGACAGCUCUGCACUGAAGACACUCUCCCGUCAUGACAUCUCGCUAUUUGAAAAAGUAAACUUUGAUGUACCUCGCAUAGAACCAUUUCUCUCUCUUCUCGCGUGAGAACAUUGAGAAUUGCACUUGAAACCUCUUAGGAUCCACAAAAAUAACAACCUCUGUAUGGAAAAUGCGCUAUUAUUCUAUCCGUCCUUCCCAGACCUCGGUUCCUCUCGUUCCUGUUUUUUCAUAUUUGCCUCCUCGCAGAUAAAGAAGCACAAGCUCGGUCGCACGGAUUAUUCGUUCUGCUUAAUAUCUCCGAUAUACGCUUUCUCUUUCUUUAUUAGUAGGUAGCUGUUAGCAAUAAAAUAGAAGUUUGCAUGCAGUAUCAUUGAACUGAA